UACGUAGGGUGCGAGCGUUGUCCGGAAUUAUUGGGCGUAAAGAGCUUGUAGGUGGUUUGUCGCGUCUGCUGUGAAAAUCCGAGGCUCAACCUCGGACUUGCAGUGGGUACGGGCAGACUAGAGUGUGGUAGGGGAGUCUGGAAUUCCUGGUGUAGCGGUGAAAUGCGCAGAUAUCAGGAGGAACACCGAUGGCGAAGGCAGGUCUCUGGGCCGAUACUGACGCUGAGGAGCGAAAGCGUGGGGAGCGAACAGG
rnacentral:rRNA from 1 species